CCAUCCCAUCCCACGAGGCCACGACCAAGCAGGCAGCAAGGGCUACCCACCCGCUUGACCGGAAGUGCCGCCGCGGCAGGUGCACGGGCUACUGCCGGUGGACGUCGCCGCCGCCGUAGUAGGGGCACGUCGCCAACGCCGCCCUCCGCGGCCGCCGCUGGAGUCGUCGCCGCCGCCGCAGGAGUCAACCGCUGCCGCAGGAGCACGUCGCCCCUGCCGCCGUGGGGACACGUCACCAACGCCGCCCCCCGCGCCCGUCGCGGCCGCUGCUGGAGUCGUCGCCGCCGUUGCAGGUGCUUGUUGCCCCUGCCGCCGACUCCUGUGAUUUCAUCGCUGUCGUAGAGGUAGACGGUUGUGAUUUAAUUGUGCCGAUUUUUGUUUGACCAGAUUUGAGUACUGAGAAUGAAUUGUGAAAUUUUCUUUAUAGGCAAACUCUUUAUGAGUGAAGAUAUGGCUGACAAUUUCAGGACCCUUGAGGAGGAAGAGGAGUAUCGUACGAUUACUGCUAUGAGAUUCAAGACUGAGGAUGACGGCUUCAAGUUAUAGGCUAUUACAUUUUGCAAUCAUGUCUCAAAGUUGUUUUGUCAUUCCUACAAUUUCAGGAAAGUAGAAGAAGAUGUGUGAGAUGGAUAAGAAGUAGAAGCAGCCCUUUGCUAUGCACUUUACAUAGUUUUGUCAUUCUCUUGGUCGUAAUGAAUACAUUGGACUGUAAUGAAUCUUUGAUGUGCUUUCCUGUAGUAUGAUGGAUGUACUGCUAUUUUGAGUUGUGCUCGCAUGGUUGAAUUUUGAUGUGUUUAACUGUAUGUGAACAUGGUGUAUGCGAAUCUGAAAAUUAUGUGUUUUGGUGCUGGUGCGUUCUGGAAAUGAAGAUAUGUUUGAUGUAUUGCAAUUUGGUGCGCUGAAUUGUUUACUGUAUGUGAGUAUGAAGUUGUGCUAGCAAAUUUGGUAACAUUGAGCCAAUAUUGCUUGAUAUGCUUGAGACUGACAGCCGGAUGGUUCUAAUUUAUUUGAGAUUUCAGAAAAAAAAAAUUGCAUUCAUAACAAUACAGUUCGUACAUAUACUCCAAGAUCUUGUACAUAAGAAUUGCAAUAACAAGUAGGGAACCCAUGAACCAACUUUUAACAUGGUCUGCCUCUUUGUUUAGCUUUGUAAUUUUUUUCUUAUAUGUUGCUUUACAAGCCAAAAUCUUGGCGGCCAUUUCAAAUUCAAGUUUCAUUUUGUCUUCCUCAACUUUCGCUCUAUCUGGACCAUUCGUACUGCCGCCUGGUUGGAUUUGUUGUGCUAGCAUGGUCCAGCGCAAGCCAAAGCUUCUCGAAUGCCGCGCAGGGGCCGCCGUCGUCGCCGCCGUGCAGGGGCCGCCGUCGCCGCCGCCACCGCCGCCGCGCAGGGGCCACCGUCGCCGUCGUGCCUUCAGCGUGGCCGUCGCCGCCGUGCCUUCAGCGUGGCCGCCGCCGCCGCGCCGUCCAGAUCGGGUGAAAGGGUAGGGUUUUGCUAGUCAGGAAGGAUAUGCUAGUCUGGAAGGAUAUGCCGCACUUCCCCAAACCAUCCACCGAUCCAAACUUCAUUCCAAACGCGAAACUACGAUUCUACCCUUCCACCCUUGCUCAAUCGCGCAGGCCACACCACGACCAAGUCGGUACCCCGAGGUACCAACUAAUCCUGACCAUUCGAUCUGUCAUCAUCAACGGUUGGGAUUUCAGUACCUCGCGGUACUAGUACCUUGCGGUACAAAAAGAAGGACCAGAGCAAUUCUCUUAUCUGAAAGUACAAACAAUCAUAUUUCACAUACAAAUCUUGCUUUUAUAUUUCAAGUUCUUAUAUAUUGGAGCAAGGUAGGCGGCUGUGGAAAAGACUACGUAGUCGUUAGCAAUGUCUCAGUCUUGUCCCUUUUUGCAUUGAACAGAUUUAUUUUUUUCAAUGAUAUAUUAAAUAAUUCGAGCGAUUGAAAAUCUGAAUGGUUAUCAAAACUGAUGUAUUAAUUGAUAAUACACUACCCCUGUGUUUCAUAUUAUAAGUCAGUUUUGAAUUUUUUAAGUCAAACUUCUUUUAAGUUUAACUAGAUUUAUAGAAAAAAAAAUUAAACUAGAUUUAUAGAAAAUUUUUUAGCGAUUUCUAUAACACCAAACUUGUUGUAGUACUCGGCACAUGGAAGACUCACUAGUCCAAGUCAUUGCUCUAACCAUAUCAGGCCGGAGUACUAACUAGUCAACAUCCUUCACAGCUGGCCAUUUAUUAUAGAGUAAUUUACACUAGCGGUCUUUAAACUUAUAACGAGGUUUCACUUAAGUUCAUAAACUUGUAAAACGUGUAUCAAGAUCCUUAAACUUGGUUUAAUGUAUCAUUCCGGUCCAAAGUCUCGUUUUACCGUGGUUUUGGCUACGUGGACGAUAAUAUAGCUAAAUUUUCUUUUUCUCUUUUUUUUUUCUCCCCAUCUUUUCUCUCCUUCCUCACCUGGCGUGGCGUCGCUCACCUUGCUCUCGCAGUCGCUCUCCCACCACUCCGCGCUGCUCCUCCUCCGCCCCCUCGCCUCCGCGCUCAUGUCCAUCGCCGGGAAUCUCCACACCGUGUCGCUGUUGUCGUCCUCGGCUGCCGAGCUGUCCUAGCUCGCCGCCGACGCGCGGCUGCUCGUAUCGCCCCGGAACGGUGGGGGUGAAGGGGUUGUGGCGGGGGCGGAUGUGCUGAUCCCGCGACUCUGCCUUGGUCGGCGGAUUCCCGCGCCACGGCGCUGGACGCGCUCGUUGACUCCGUCGGGUCGCCGCUGUCGGCGGCGGCGGUGUCCGCCGUGGCCGUGAUGCUCGACUCGGGCGAGAUCCUACCGGUGUUUUUAAUCUCUCUCUCUCUCAUGCGGGGGUGUGUGCGAGCUCGGAUUUUGGGCAUGUUAUCUGCCAGAGCAGAGAUGGAUGCGUGCAGCUAUGGAUUUGGGAUGAUAUCGAUUUCAGAUUGUUUUUUUUUUCUGUGCGUCGUGAUUUGUGAGUGAAUUCGUAGUUUCUCGUGAUGCAGAUUACCUCGGAGGAGGAGGAGGCCCGUCGGCAGCGAUGCAGUGGCAGUUUCCGGCGUCCAAGGUAAGCGUUCAUGUCCUUCAGGUCAUCGUCGUCGUUGGCGGCGGCGAGGGAGGAGGAUUCCAAGGAGGCGGCGGUG
rnacentral:lncRNA from 1 species